CAAAGAUUCAGUUGUGAAAAGAUGUUACUUAACAGUUGAUUCCAAUAUGAUGAAAAUAUAGUGAACAGUAAUACACGUGUCCUUUAUUUCAAGCAGUCUUUGACUAAAAACUGUGGUGCAGUUCAAAUGUUUUGUUGCUGUUGGUUAUAGCAAGAGUUGCUAUGUCUCUUUCACCCCUUAGUCAUUUCUAGAAUUGUCUUGUGCCACUUGUGUAGGUUUCUUGUGGCUAUCCUUGAAGGGCCCAGUGUGAGCACUGAAGAGCUUCCCUGUGGGCCUCUGCCGCACUCACCGCCAGUCUUCCCAGUGGGUUGGAGGCCCUUAGACUUCCCUUGCCAUCACAGUACACUUGGGGAACGGGCAGUGGGCUGCUGAGGUCCUCGCUCUGGCCUCAGAGCCUGGCACAUUCCCUGGGACAUGGAGCUUGGAAGUGCUCUCUUGGGCCAGCCACCCUCUCUGCUGGGCCUACUGCUUCUCAUUCCCGGGACGGUGUUUCAUAGCAACUAUGGAGCUGCUGCCCUGCUUCUUUUUCCAGGGUCCUCGGAGGCCCCUUGCUUGCUGUGCUAGCCUGACAGAUGAAAUGAUGUCACUGGGAGCACCUCAGAUCGGUGAUCCACAGAGCUAGCUGGCCUUGCUGAACUAGGUACGUGCAAGGGCAAUACCAAGUACCAUUAUUGAGCCAGACUGGGGAGUAGGCUCUGUCAUAGCCACACUGUGCAGUGUUUCAGGGCAGAGCCCAGAAUCCGGGCUUUGGUCUGCACCCCACUCCUCCAUCAUUCACUCCUUUGGCACUCUGUUUCUCCAGUGAAAUGGUAAACUCCCUUGGCAGCAGGGAAUGAUCUUUUGUCUCCCCUCCUCCUGUGCCUAGCAUGGUGCUCCUGAACAUGGGUGUUUAGUAAACAUUUAAAGAAAAAUAAAUGUAUUAUUCUGGAGCA
rnacentral:lncRNA from 1 species